rnacentral:rRNA from 1 species
UACGGGGGGGGGUAAGCGUUGUUCGGAAUCAUUGGGCGUAAAGAGCGUGUAGGCGGCCCGGUAAGUCCGCUGUGAAAGUCGGGGGCUCAACCCUCGAAUGCCGGUGGAUACUGUCGGGCUAGAGUGCGGAAGAGGCGAGUGGAAUUCCUGGUGUAGCGGUGAAAUGCGCAGAUAUCAGGAGGAACACCGAUUGCGAAGGCAGCUCGCUGGGACGUAACUGACGCUGGAGACGCGAAAAGCGUGGGGAGCAAACAGG